GGCGAACGCUGGCGGCGUGCUUAACACAUGCAAGUCGAACGGAAAGGCCCCUUUUGGGUUACUCGCUUGGCUAACGGGUGAGUAACACGUACGUAACCUGCCCUUCACUUCCUGUUAACUUCAUUCAACUAGGGCUAGUACCUACUAGGAAUCCUUUCUUCCUGCUUGGGGUUGGAAAGCUUGGGCGGUUUUGGAUGGACUUGCGGGUUGUCAGCUUGUUGGUGGGUGAGUGGCUUACCAAGGCUUUGUCGGGUAGCCGGCCGGGGAGGGCGAACGGCCACAUUGGGGCUGGGAAAAGGCCCAGAAUCCUAAGGGAGGGAGGAGUGGGGAAUAAUGCAAAAUGGGGGGAAGCCUGAUGGAAGAAAGGCGCGUGGGGGAUGAAGGCCUUCGGGUUGGAAACCGGUUUCAGCAGGGGAGGAGCUUGUGGUGACGGUAACUGGAGAAGAAGCACCGGCUAACUACGUG
rnacentral:rRNA from 1 species